UCGACAGCAGUGGAAGCUGAAGUCAUCUAUUUAUCUACUGAACAGGUACACAGCACAAACAAGGGUAACAUGAGCUUCCCAACAUUGCCCCAUCAAUGUGCCUUAGCCCUGACCUGCAUGGAUCGUAUCCAAGGGCGAGAGGGUAAUUCAAACUGCCAACAGGGCCAGCUGGGAUGUAGACUGCC
rnacentral:sRNA from 1 species